rnacentral:rRNA from 1 species
GACGAACGCUGGCGGCGUGCUUAACACAUGCAAGUCGAACGGAAAGGCCCUGCUUUUGUGGGGUGCUCGAGUGGCGAACGGGUGAGUAACACGUGAGUAACCUGCCCUUGACUUUGGUAUAACUUCAGGAAACUGGGGCUAAUACCGGAUAGGAGCUCCUGCUGCAUGGUGGGGGUUGGAAAGUUUCGGCGGUUGGGGAUGGACUCGCGGCUUAUCAGCUUGUUGGUGGGGUAGUGGCUUACCAAGGCUUUGACGGGUAGCCGGCCUGAGAGGGUGACCGGCCACAUUGGAACUGAGAUGCGGCCCAGACUCCUACGGGGGGGAACGGUGAGGAAUAUUGCGCAAUGGGCGGAGUCCGGAUGCAGCAACGCCGCGUGCGGGAUGACGGCCUUCGGGUUUUAGACCACUUUCACCUGUGACGAAGCGUGAGUGACGGUAAUGGGUAAAGAAGCACCGGCUAACUACGUG